rnacentral:rRNA from 1 species
AUUGAACGCUGGCGGCAGGCCUAACACAUGCAAGUCGAGCGGACAAAGGGAGCUUUCUCUUGGAUUCAGCUGCGGACGGGUGAGUAAUGCCUAGGAAUCUGCCUGGUUGUGGGGGAUAACAUCCGGAAACGAGCGCUAAUAUCGCAUACGACCAGAGGGUGAAAGUGGGGGUUCCUUGGUCCUCACGCGAUCAGAUGACCCUAGGCCGGAUUAGCUAGUUGGUGGGGUAAAGGCCUACCAAGGCGACGAUCCGUAACUGGUCUGAGAGGAUGAUCAGUCACACUGGAACUGAGACACGGUCCAGACUCCUACGGGAGGCAGCAGUGGGGAAUAUUGGACAAUGGGCGAAAGCCUGAUCCAGCAAUGCCGCGUGUGUGAGGAAGGUCUUCGGAUUGUAAAGCACUUUGAGUUGGGAGGAAGGGAAGUAAAUUAAAACCUUGCUGUUUUGACGUUACCUACAGAGUAAGCACCGGCUAACUUCGUG